GGAGGUGUCAUGAGUAGUUCACAGGUCAGAACUUUGAUUAAAAGUUUCAGAUAGAGACAUCAAGUCUGGAUUAAGUUUAAACUCAUAAAAAGUUCAGACUCAACACUAUGAUCAAUGUAAUAAAAAGUUAUUGGGACAAGAAACUAUUAAAAGGUUUUUAAAUCAGCAUUGCACUGCAGUCAAGAGGGGUGGGGGUUGAUCAGUAACACCUUAGUGAAAGAAUCACUAAUCUCACUAAUCACUAAUCUCAACUGAGAAUCUGUUAUUACUUUCAAGGGAGAUUAAUUGUACCUAGCAUGCUUAGAAAUAGAUUCCCUCCUACUGUAUUGUUCAGGUAGCAUUUUGGAAAUUGCGCUUCUGCCCCCAAGAAACUCCUAUUCAUUUGUUAGAGUUUUCUAAAUAUAGAGAGAGUUUAUCGAGUACUGUACAGUUCCUAAAUGUACUUGAUGAAAUGAUUUUGUUAGUACCUGUAUGCAUGAAGAUACAGUGUGGAGUUUAUACUGUUGUUACAAAGUCUCAUAUUUUAUUCUGUGUCAAAUUGAUCAAAUUUUCAACAUUGUGGACCAGCUUGUCAUCUCUGCAGGUAAAAACUAGAAGAGGACUUUAAAUUCCUCAGAAUUUCCUCAUUAGCAUUCCAUUACUUGGGGGGCCUUUCAAACCUAUGGAUUCCCCAUGUUCUUUACAGAGGUCCUUAAGAUUUGUGCAUUGCUUCUUGGCCUUAGCCCCUAGAUUCAUGGCAGCAAGGCUUCCUACCUGCCUCCAUUUCCAAAAGCACUUUGAAAUCCUCAGUUAGACUGCACUGUAAGUGUAAUAUAUAAAUGGGGAUGGGGCGCUACACAUGACAGUGAUGAGAUCAGCAUUAGUUUACACAAAGUUGGGGGAAGAAAUGUUAUAGAUGGUAUCUUAACCACCUCAUAACCUUCCCAUAAGCCCAUUGAGUGAUUUCCACACAGAUAGAGGAGAAAGGGCUUUCCAUCCCCUCUUCCAUAUGCAACAUGCACUGGACCUAGGUCCCCUCCAUUCUAGGAAGCAGACAGGACAAUCUAGCCCAUUAUUUUCAUCAUUCAAAAACCCUGCUGAUUAACAACAGGAUUUACAUUUUUUUAUUCAAAACUAAUACUGCAUGCAAGCAUGCAGAAUAGGCUGACAUUCUGAGAACUUUGGCAUGCAAAUAUAGGUUGGUAUGAAGUAGGGAACACGUUAGUUUUAAUGCCAUCACAACUUAUAUUGCCAUCUAUCAGUAUGUUUAUUGCAUUACUGGAAAAAUCAUUGGGAGCCCUCUAGUGGUCAAAGUUAUAGUGUCACAAUCCUGCAGUUAUGCACAUGCCUAACUUUAAAAGCAUCAGUAGCCCUGUUGAUUUAAAUACAACUUCUCACAUGCAUAAAGUGAAGCACAUGCCCAAGGUCCCAAUCCUGCAAUUAAUGCUAUGCAAUCAAACUCCUUCUCCUCCACAGAUUCCCUAGGAAAUCAGUGGGGGGCUCCACUAGGGUUGCCAGUUUUGGUGCCACAUAUUCCUGGAGGUUUCAUUUUAAUUAAUCUUUAAUUCCUGGAGACUCCAGGACAAUCCUGGAGGGUUGGCAACCUUUGGCUCUGCACAAGUACAGGGAUCUACCCAUAAAGAAUGUUUUGCAGGCUUUGGGCCUAAAUUUCCAUACUGCUUAGAAUAGCUAUCAAGCCAGAGACAAAAAAACAAAUGGUAGAAAUCAAAAGCCUUCACGCUGUUCUUAAUGAUCAUUCAAAUAUCACCCCAAAAGAGAAAGCAACCAUUUUAUGCAUGGAAUAUUUUGAAUCCAGAGGAUCUCUCUCUCUGAACUGCGAAGAGGCCCAUUCUAAAAUGUGUUGGAUGAAAAAAGCUAAAUCUUGUAGUACAGUCACAUUAAUGGCUUACUUCUUCCAUGUGAUUAAAAUUAAAUUACCGUAAUAUAGGAAUCAAACUAACAUCCAUUAAAUAUCAGUUAGAAUAUAUGGCUUCUCAAAUGUCUCCUCUAAAAACAAGACAGGGUGGCUCCCUGCCUGAACACUGCUCUCUAGCAGAAUGUUCACUACUACAAGCUUUUCUUACAGAAAUGAACUGGUACACAAAAUCCUCCUACCUUACUGCAGAAAGAAACAAAAAAUCCUAUUCUUUCAGCAAGGCCUGGAGAAACAACCAAGCUCUGUGGUCAGGGUGUGGUAGAUUCUGGAAUUCUGGAUGGAGUACAAUAGGAGGUCAGAUGACAUUACAGUUUCUACCCUGCAAAUUCAAGCUGAUGAUGUCAAAAAUGUUAUGUUGCAAAAUGUUAAUAAGGUUUUGCAAAGAGAAGAAAAGCUGAGUGACCUUAGUGACAGAGCAGAAGCUCUCCGAUUGGCGGCUCAGUGUUUCCAAAAAAACACCGCAAGGAUUUCCAGGAAGAAGUGGUGGAAAAAUGCCAAAAUGAUGAUAAUUAUUGGAGUCCUUCUACUUAUUAUUUUAAUAUUUAUCAUUCUCCUAGCUACAGGUGUUAUUCCAACAUAAACUUUUGAUUUUUUUUUUGCCAAGCACAAAAAUUUUAUAAAUUGUAUUUAAAAAUUAUUUUAGAGGACAAAUAUUUACAUUGUCAUUUUGUAUAUUGUUCAAGAACUACUGAACCAUUAACACCUGGUUGCUUGCAUGUAAUCUACUACAGUAUUUUCUCCACUCUUGAUGUAGUGAAACAGAUGCAGAGAAGUUAAGUGAUGUUUAAACCACCGGCUGUAAUAACGGAUUGCUUACCUAUCUCACAUGCAUACAUGAGUAACUGAGAAUUUUGAACGUAUAAGUGUCAUAACUCUUCCCUAGCUAUAUUUUCCAGCGCUAAAGGAACAUGCAUAUUAAAAAAAGGAAUUGCAGUAACUGUUUUUCUUCCCCUGUCCCCACUUACUGUCUAGCACCCGAAGUGAAGAGUUGAAAAUAAAGGUCAUGUAUAUGGUUCUCUUCUUA